AUAAAUUCUGUGAAGUCCUUGAGGAGUGCUCCACAACUCCUCCCGUGUAGCUAGAGGCUAUCCCGAAGCCUGUGAAGAGAACGAGGAUCCGUCUGUGCCGGAAUUCUGCUGGUCAGGAGCUGGAAGGAAGAAAUUUCCCCCUGUAUUGCACCGAGGGGAUUGUAAGUCCCAGAAGAACCACUAGAGGGGCUACGCCCUACCCUUGGGGAUCUACGAGAGGUUCAGAAGAUUGCACAGGAGGGCUACGUCCAGCCCUAAAGAGGCUACCGCAUAUUAGGGCUACGUUCUGGCCCCAAGAAGCCACCGACAGCACCAGAGGGCCACACCCUACCUCGAGAAGCCACAGAAAGCAGAAGACGUCGUAGAAGAGAAGGAAGCGACGACCGACUUACCCCCAAGAAGAAGAAGACAAAUUUUGUACAUUGAGAGGAGAAUAAACUGCCCCGUGUGGGGAAAAAGAGGAAAACGAACUCUAUAUGGCGCCCAACCACCGCUGGAACUCACGCAAGGAUAAAUUCUGUGAAGUCCUUGAGGAGUGCUCCACAACUCCUCCCGUGUAGCUAGAGGCUAUCCCGAAGCCUGUGAAGAGAACGAGGAUCCGUCUGUGCCGGAAUUCUGCUGGUCAGGAGCUGGAAGGAAGAAAUUUCCCCCUGUAUUGCACCGAGGGGAUUGUAAGUCCCAGAAGAACCACUAGAGGGGCUACGCCCUACCCUUGGGGAUCUACGAGAGGUUCAGAAGAUUGCACAGGAGGGCUACGUCCAGCCCUAAAGAGGCUACCGCAUAUUAGGGCUACGUUCUGGCCCCAAGAAGCCACCGACAGCACCAGAGGGCCACACCCUACCUCGAGAAGCCACAGAAAGCAGAAGACGUCGUAGAAGAGAAGGAAGCGACGACCGACUUACCCCCAAGAAGAAGAAGACAAAUUUUGUACAUUGAGAGGAGAAUAAACUGCCCCGUGUGGGGAAAAAGAGGAAAA